CGCAGCUUCAGCAACGCAACGGCGUCGAACCGAAUCACUGGCAUCCUCACGAAACCUUAACAACAUAAACGCCACGAUGCGCUGGCUCAACCGCAAGCGUCCGACGACGCCCCUCUACAUCCCCGACCCGCGUCGCCCAUCCAUUGUGUUUGUUCUCACAUCUCCGGAGCCCGUACUCAGCGCGCUGCUGCUGGGCGUCAGCUGCUACUUUCUCACGGUAGUCACCGGGAGCACAUCGCUAGACGGCCCCGGGGGUCUCUGGCAGGCGUUUGGCCGAAAGAGUCGUGCCCGCAUGCAGAGCCGCGAGUCGGAGCUGCGGCCGGAUCCCCCGCUGGCGAUCAGCUUCGACAUGCUCAUCGUAGUGUUGUGCAUCUUCGCCUCGAAUAGCGUCCUCGCCGCGUGCAGCCGGGUCCUGGCGAGGGAGCAACGUCGCGUCGAGGACGCGGCGGAGGCAGAGUGGCUGGCGGCCGUCUCGAACCCGGAAACGCGGAGUGAGCGGCUCGCGAAAGAUGCGCAGGAGCUCGCUGAAAAGGUGAAGUUCUGGCAGGAGAACGACGAGCGCCGCAAGGCUGGCCAGGCUGCGCGCCGCGAGCGCAUCAAGAAGCUCGACGUCAUGGCCGAUGAAGUAAUGACGAACAUCAUCAUCAUCGUCUCCGUCGUUGUGAGCCUCGGGGCUGCCUACUCUAUCCUUAUGCAGCCGCCAAACCAAGUCCGAGGUCUCGGCAUGGCCGGAAUGCUAGUGGUGCUCAUUGGCGGUCUCAUCGUGUGCGGGCUUGACCGCUACAUCAGCAGCAUGCGCCACUACUGCAACUAUGUAAAUUUGCUCUGCAUCUUCUCGCUGCUGGUGUUGGCCGCUCGCGCGAGUGUGUUGGCAGAGUGAGCACCUGGGUAGUGUGCUUGCAUAAUCUCUGCAGUUGCAAUGCCUUGGGAAAGGGGGAGGGAGGGGUGGUACCCGCGUAUGUAUGUGUGUGUGUGUAUGUAUGUGUGUGCGUCGAUCCAGUGCCUCUGAACCUUAAACAACCUCCGUGAAGACCCGAUCACCGUCUACACACACACACACACACACCUCCCCUCCCCUCCCCACGCCACUGUCACUGUCCACAACAACCCAGAACGAGAAGUCUCCAUAUGUGUGUGUGUGUGUGUGUUUACGGGUGAGGAUGGCGGUGGUGGCGACGCGGAGGUGUGGGGGCAUAGUGGCAAGAACGCCUCAGCAACGUAACAGGUGCACAUCCGUCGAUGGAUACCGUCACUCGCACUCUCUCCCGAGCGUGCACCACCCCUCCCUUUCCCAUUUCUCCUCUCUUUCUCGGCGGCGCACGCACCUCCGCAAGCAGCGCCGCUGGCAAGGUCAUCUUGCCUCUCCUUGCCUUCCUUUCGCUGGUUUUGCGCGAGCGAUGCUGAGCUGCAUGACAAGACGCUGCAUGGAAUCGCUCCCGCACAAGCGGUGCAUGAACCUGUUGCCCCUCCCCCUGUACGUCUACGUCUCUGCUCACGCUCACGCACGAGCAG
rnacentral:misc_RNA from 1 species